GACGAACGCUGGCGGCGUGCUUAACACAUGCAAGUCGAACGGAAAGGCCCUGCUUUUGUGGGGUGCUCGAGUGGCGAACGGGUGAGUAACACGCGAGUAACCUGGCCUUGACUUUGGGAUAACUUCAGGAAACUGGGGCUAAUACCGGAUAGGAGCUCCUGCUGCAUGGUGGGGGUUGGAAAGUUUCGGCGGUUGGGGAUGGACUCGCGGCUUAUCAGCUUGUUGGUGGGGUAGUGGCUUACCAAGGCUUUGACGGGUAGCCGGCCUGAGAGGGUGACCGGCGACAUUGGGACUGAGAUGCGGCCCAGGCACGUACGGGAGGCAGCAGUGGGGAAUAUUGCACAAGGGGCGGAGGCCUGAUGCAGCAACGCCGCGUGCGGGAUGACGGCCUUCGGGUUGUAAACCGCUUUCGCCUGUGACGAAGCGUGAGUGACGGUAAUGGGUAAAGAAGCACCGGCUAACUACGUG
rnacentral:rRNA from 1 species